rnacentral:pre_miRNA from 1 species
ACACUGCUACUUACGGUUAGUUUUGCAGGUUUGCAUUUCAGCGUAUAUAUGUAUAUAUGGCUGUGCAAAUCCAUGCAAAACUGAUUGUGAUAAUGU